AUUGAACGCUGGCGGCAGGCCUAACACAUGCAAGUCGAGCGAGCGGCGGACGGGUGAGUAAUGUAUCUGGGUCUUCCUCAUGGCGGGGGAUAACUAAUGGAAACGCUAGCUCAUACCCCAUACCAUCAUAUGAACCCCUAUGGGAUUAUCUCGUAGGUGAGGUAACGGCUUACCAAGGCGACGAUCCCUAGCUGGUCUGAGAGGAGGAUCAGCCACACGGGGACUGAGACACGGACCAGACUCCUACGGGAGGCAGCAGUGGGGAAUAUUGCACAAUGGGCGAAAGCCUGAUGCAGCCAUGCCGCGUGUAUGAAGAAGGCCUUCGGGUUGUAAGGUACUUUCAGUCGGGAGGCGUUACUGGCAGAAGAAGCACCGGCUAACUCCGUGCCAGCAGCCGCGGUAAUAC
rnacentral:rRNA from 1 species